AUUGAACGCUGGCGGCAGGCCUAACACAUGCAAGUCGAACGAGUGGCGGACGGGUGAGUAAUGUCUGGGAAACUGCCUGAUGGAGGGGGAUAACUACUGGAAACGGUAGCUAAUACCGCAUACAAUCAGAUGUGCACAGAUGGGAUUAGCCUGUUGGUGGGGUAACGGCUCACCCAGGCGACGAUACCUAGCUGGUCUGAGAGGAUGACCAGCCACACUGUGACUGAGACACGGUCCAGACUCCUCCGGGUGUCAGCAGUGGGGAAUAUUGCACAAUGGGCGCAAGCCUGAUGCAUCCAUGCCGCUUGUAUGAAGAAGGCCUUCGGGUUGUAAAGUACUUUCAGCGGGGAGGCGUUACCCGCAGAAGAAGCACCGGCUAACUCCGUGCCAGCAGCCGCGGUAAUUC
rnacentral:rRNA from 1 species